CCUACGGGUGGCAGCAGUGAGGAAUAUUGGUCAAUGGACGCAAGUCUGAACCAGCCAAGUAGCGUGCAGGAUGACGGCCCUCCGGGUUGUAAACUGCUUUUAGUUGGGAAUAAAAGGGGGCUCGUGAGCCCCGUAUUGUAUGUACCAUCAGAAAAAGGACUGGCUAAUUCCGUGCAAGCAGCCGCGGUAAUACGGAAGGUCCGGGCGUUAUCCGGAUUUAUUGGGUUUAAAGGGAGCGUAGGCCGGCUUUUAAGUCAGCUGUGAAAGUCCGCGGCUCAACCGUGGAAUUGCAGUUGAAACUGGAGGCCUUGAGUGCACACAGGGAUGCCGGAAUUCAUGGUGUAGCGGUGAAAUGCUUAGAUAUAAGGAAGAACACCGAUCGCGAAGGCAGGUGUCCGGGGUGCAACUGACGCUGAGGCUCGAAAGUGCGGGUAGCAAACAGGAUUAGAUACCCUAGUAGUC
rnacentral:rRNA from 1 species